rnacentral:rRNA from 1 species
UCGGGAAUUUUGGGCAAUGGGGGAAACCCUGACCCAGCAACGCCGCGUGAAGGAUGAAGUAUUUCGGUAUGUAAACUUCGAAAGAAUAGGAAGAAUAAAUGACGGUACUAUUUAUAAGGUCCGGCUAACUACGUGCCAGCAGCCGCGGUAAUACAGAGGGUGCAAGCGUUAUCCGGAAUCACUGGGCGUAAAGGGUGUCGAGGCGGUUGUAUUAGUCGUUCGUAAAAUCUACGAGCUUAACUUGUAGGCGGCGAACGAAACGGUACGACUUGAGGUUUGGAGAGGUGCGUGGAACUCACGGUGUAGGGGUGAAAUCCGUUGAUAUCGUGGGGAACACCAAAGGCGAAGGCAGCGCACUGGCCAAAAUCUGACGCUCACACACGAAAGCUAGGGUAGCGAAGAGGAUUAGAUACCCGGGUAGUCCCUGAGCGGGCUGGCAAGGCGCAU